ensembl:rRNA 5S_rRNA 5S ribosomal RNA
GCUUACGGCCAUACCAGCCUGAAUACGCCCGAUCUCGUCUGAUCUCGGAAGCUAAGCAGGGUCGGGCCUGGUUAGUACUUGGAUGGGAGACCGCCUGGGAAUACCAGGUGCUGUAAACU